GGCGAACGGGUGAGUAACACGUGGGUGAUCUGCCCUGCACUUUGGGAUAAGCCUGGGAAACUGGGUCUAAUACCGGAUAGGACCACAUUUUGGAUGGUGUGGUGGAAAGUUUUUCGGUGUGGGAUGAGCUCGCGGCCUAUCAGCUUGUUGGUGGGGUAAUGGCCUACCAAGGCGUCGACGGGUAGCCGGCCUGAGAGGGCGACCGGCCACACUGGGACUGAGAUACGGCCCAG
rnacentral:rRNA from 1 species